rnacentral:lncRNA from 1 species
UAAACUCUCUUGCACCCGACUCCCAGUCGAACGCCAUUACAGGUGCCUCUAUCACCAUCACAGCCAUAAUCAUCCACCAUCUUUGUCGUCGCUGGUCUGUCGACUGUGGACCGCAACUGGUUGCCGGUUUCAUAUCUGUUAGGCUGUCUUGAUUUCGUCUCCGUCUCAGUUUCAUCCCCAUCUCAUUUCGUCUCUGUUUCGCCGUUGAUUUCAUCUUCAAUGCCCAUGGUUCUGGUCCGAUGAUAAUUUGUUGUUGUCGUUGUAGUUGGUGACGAUGAUGAUUCUGAUUUGAAUAUUAUUGUUAUUUUUUUUAAUGGAUUAUUUUGUUGAUGAUGAUGAA